AGUGAACGCUGGCGGCAGGCCUAACACAUGCAAGUCGAACGGCAGCACAGGAGAGCUUGCUCUCUGGGUGGCGAGUGGCGGACGGGUGAGGAAUAUAUCGGAAUCGACCCUGUCGGGGGGGAUAACGGAGGGAAACUUACGCAAAUAGCGCAUACGAACUGAGGUUGAAAGCGGCGGACCGCAAGGCGUCGCGGGGAUGGAUGAGCCGAUAUCCGAUUAGCUAGUUGGCGGGGUAAAGGCCCACCAAGGCGACGAUCGGUAGCUGGUCUGAGAGGAUGAUCAGCCACACUGGAACUGAGACACGGUCCAGACUCCUACGGGAGGCAGCAGUGGGGAAUAUUGGACAAUGGGCGCAAGCCUGAUCCAGCCAUGCCGCGUGUGUGAAGAAGGCCUUCGGGUUGUAAAGCACUUUUGUUGGGAAAGAAAAGCGGUCGGUUAAUACCCGGUCGUUCUGACGGUACCUACAGAAGAAGGACCGGCCAACUACGUGCCAGCAGCCGCAGUAA
rnacentral:rRNA from 1 species